UACGAAGGGGGCAAGCGUUAAUCGGAAUUACUGGGCGUAAAGGGUGCGUAGGCGGUUGUUUAAGUCUGUCGUGAAAUCCCCGGGCUCAACCUGGGAAGUGCAUCGCAAACUAUCUAACUGGAGUAUAUGAGAGGGUGGCGGAAUUUCCGGUGUAGCGGUGAAAUGCGUAGAGAUCGGAAGGAACAUCAGUGGCGAAGGCGACUUCCUGGACCAAUACUGACGCUCAGGUGCGAAAGCGUGGGGAGCAAACAGG
rnacentral:rRNA from 1 species